ACACAAAACAAGCCUGUCUUUGACACCUUUCUUCCCCCAAACCAGCUGGUAACACAACCCUCGGUGAAAAAGUAUUGUACUUUUUAAGGGAGUCCAGAGGCGCCAUCUGGUUCUUUCCUGGAUGGCCUAGGGGUGUCAGAUGCUGGGAAGAGACAGAAGGGUCCUGAACUACGGUGUCUCCUCAGGGGGCAGAAUCCACAAAAUCAUCAGCCUUUCACCACCUGGGUGAACAAUGCUGUACGUUUUUCCCUUAGGUUCCUGUGUCAAAACAACUGCCCGACUCAGAGAUCAAUAUAGGGGACACAAUUUUGGAAAGUGACAUAUGGGUGAAAGUGAAUCUGCACGAACAGAACCUGAUCAUGCUGGAACCUUCUACCUUGCCUUCCCUUCUUGGACAAUUUUGGUCUCAUUCUCAUUUACUUUCCUCAAAGAGACUAUUUAAGGGGAAACUAUAACUACUUGCCUCAAACCAUCACUGUGAAAUAGACACUGGCAAUUCUAUAGUGUUUGGUUCCAAUAAGACAAAAAUAAACACAAAUUACAUCCAUUUAACUUUUAUUUUAAA